rnacentral:rRNA from 1 species
AUGUACAUUCCUACAACAUAGCAUUAAUGCACCAAAUCCCAUUAGAACUCCAUAGUUAAACGUGCUCGGGCUAGAGUAGUACUGGUAUGGGUGACCCGAGAAGUCCUAGUGUCUUACAUC